rnacentral:rRNA from 1 species
ACGGGUGAGUAACGCGUGGGAACGUACCUUUUGGUUCGGAACAACACAGGGAAACUUGUGCUAAUACCGGAUAAGCCCUUACGGGGAAAGAUUUAUCGCCAAAAGAUCGGCCCGCGUCUGAUUAGCUAGUUGGUGAGGUAAUGGCUCACCAAGGCGACGAUCAGUAGCUGGUCUGAGAGGAUGAUCAGCCACAUUGGGACUGAGACACGGCCCAAACUCCUACGGGAGGCAGCAGUGGGGAAUAUUGGACAAUGGGCGCAAGCCUGAUCCAGCCAUGCCGCGUGAGUGAUGAAGGCCCUAGGGUUGUAAAGCUCUUUUGUGCGGGAAGAUAAUGACGGUACCGCAAGAAUAAGCCCCGGCUAACUUCGUGCCAGCAGCCGCGGUAAUACGAAGGGGGCUAGCGUUGCUCGGAAUCACUGGGCGUAAAGGGUGCGUAGGCGGGUCUUUAAGUCAGGGGUGAAAUCCUGGAGCUCAACUCCAGAACUGCCUUUGAUACUGAGGAUCUUGAGUUCGGGAGAGGUGAGUGGAACUGCGAGUGUAGAGGUGAAAUUCGUAGA